AUGCUGGAGGUAUCAGAAGUGCGAAUGCUGACAUAAGUAACGAUAAAGCGGGUGAAAAGCCCGCUCGCCGGAAGACCAAGGGUUCCUGUCCAACGUUAAUCGGGGCAGGGUGAGUCGACCCCUAAGGCGAGGCCGAAAGGCGUAGUCGAUGGGAAACAGGUUAAUAUUCCUGUACUUGGUGUUACUGCGAAGGGGGGACGGAGAAGGCUAUGUUGGCCGGGCGACGGUUGUCCCGGUUUAAGCGUGUAGGCUGGUUUUCCAGGCAAAUCCGGAAAACUAAGGCUGAGGCGUGAUGACGAGGCACUACGGUGCUGAAGUAACAAAUGCCCUGCUUCCAGGAAAAGCCUCUAAGCAUCAGGUAACAUCAAAUCGUACCCCAAACCGACACAGGUGGUCAGGUAGAGAAUACCAAGGCGCUUGAGAGAACUCGGGUGAAGGAACUAGGCAAAAUGGUGCCGUAACUUCGGGAGAAGGCACGCUGAUAUGUAGGUGAAGCGACUUGCUCGUGGAGCUGAAAUCAGUCGAAGAUACCAGCUGGCUGCAACUGUUUAUUAAAAACACAGCACUGUGCAAACACGAAAGUGGACGUAUACGGUGUGACGCCUGCCCGGUGCCGGAAGGUUAAUUGAUGGGGUCAGCGCAAGCGAAGCUCUUGAUCGAAGCCCCGGUAAACGGCGGCCGUAACUAUAACGGUCCUAAGGUAGCGAAAUUCCUUGUCGGGUAAGUUCCGACCUGCACGAAUGGCGUAAUGAUGGCCAGGCUGUCUCCACCCGAGACUCAGUGAAAUUGAACUCGCUGUGAAGAUGCAGUGUACCCGCGGCAAGACGGAAAGACCCCGUGAACCUUUACUAUAGCUUGACACUGAACAUUGAGCCUUGAUGUGUAGGAUAGGUGGGAGGCUUGGAAGUGUGGACGCCAGUCUGCAUGGAGCCGACCUUGAAAUACCACCCUUUAAUGUUUGAUGUUCUAACGUUGACCCGUAAUCCGGGUUGCGGACAGUGUCUGGUGGGUAGUUUGACUGGGGCGGUCUCCUCCUAAAGAGUAACGGAGGAGCACGAAGGUUGGCUAAUCCUGGUCGGACAUCAGGAGGUUAGUGCAAUGGCAUAAGCCAGCUUGACUGCGAGCGUGACGGCGCGAGCAGGUGCGAAAGCAGGUCAUAGUGAUCCGGUGGUUCUGAAUGGAAGGGCCAUCGCUCAACGGAUAAAAGGUACUCCGGGGAUAACAGGCUGAUACCGCCCAAGAGUUCAUAUCGACGGCGGUGUUUGGCACCUCGAUGUCGGCUCAUCACAUCCUGGGGCUGAAGUAGGUCCCAAGGGUAUGGCUGUUCGCCAUUUAAAGUGGUACGCGAGCUGGGUUUAGAACGUCGUGAGACAGUUCGGUCCCUAUCUGCCGUGGGCGCUGGAGAACUGAGGGGGGCUGCUCCUAGUACGAGAGGACCGGAGUGGACGCAUCACUGGUGUUCGGGUUGUCAUGCCAAUGGCACUGCCCGGUAGCUAAAUGCGGAAGAGAUAAGUGCUGAAAGCAUCUAAGCACGAAACUUGCCCCGAGAUGAGUUCUCCCUGACUCCUUGA
rnacentral:rRNA from 1 species